AGAUGUUGGAGGAACAAUAACAAGUUUAUUCAGGCACAGAGUGGUUACAAUUCUCAGAGGCACUUUCAUUAACAGUUACAAUAUUAGUCAAACUCCCUAUAGCGUCAUUUCCUUAACUUAGUCCUCUGCCACUUUUAAACCGUAGUCACCCCUGUGAUAUUCGAUCACAGAUUCUAAGUCACCAAACUUAUUUUAAUCUGACUCAAAAUGAACAAUUGAGUCUCCCUUGAUCCCCUCAACUUAGGAUCAAUCUUCCCUGUGACUCAUCAGACACAGACUGAAAACUCUUAUUUUAAACUCUGCACUUCUUAAACAGAACGACAGUUGGCUCUGCCCACUUCUCCAUGGCAACCAGCUUCUGAGUGUAGAGAAGCAAUAAUUGCAAUACUCACCCCUUUAAAACACAAUGCACAAUUAACAUCUGUAAAUCAAAAAUUCAUACUUCAUUACAACAUCGAAUUCCAGAUUUUUAAUUAAAAGCUUAAGCUUGUUUGUUUUAAUUCUCUGCCAUUGUAAAUUUCUUCUAAUGACCACAAGGGAGCACGCUUCACUUUUACUACCUGCCUCGAUCCGCCAACAUUCAUAUGAGAAAAUUUAGGAACAGAUAUGUUUACAUUGUACAAGUAAUACAAAUAGAUACUAUAUUAACUGACAUAGUUUCUUGCUAUGGAAUCCUUGGAGUUGUGGCUUCCCAAGGUCUUUGUCUUUGGUUGCUGUGGGCUUUGCAGGCUGUAUGACCAUGUUCCAGAAGCAUUCUCUCCUGAAGAGAGAAGACUCUCUCCCACAUCUAUGGGCCUUUUCUUCCACAUCUAUGGCAGGCAUCCUCAGAGGUUGUGAGGCAAGUAGGGUUUAUAUGUGGAAUGAUGACCAAGGUGGGAGAAAGUUUUCUGAGGGAGGCAAGGGUGAAUGCUGCUAAUGGCCACCUUGAUUAGCAUUGAAUGGCCUUGCAUUUUGCUACGAGUUUUCAAUGAAUAUCAAUUCAUUCAACAUAGUCUGUGGUAUAUACUUGAAAAUAAAGCCUGAAAAAGACUGAAAAAGCCCCCCUCGGCUUAUACUCGGGUGAGGGUCCUGGUUGGCUUAUAUUUGGGUCAGCUUUUUAUCAGAGUUGGGCAGUUUUAUCUUAAAUUUGAGCUUUACGUAAAUAUUCAAAAACAUUGAACCUACUGAUUCCUCAAUGUAAUUUUAUUGGUAUCUAUUUUUAUUUCUGAAAUUUACCACCCUCAUACUUGUCAAUGCUUUCCCAGGUUUUUUUUGUAAAAUUAGGUGUCUCGGCUUAUAUUCGGGUCGGCUUAUACUCGAGUAUAUACGGUAAGUAUCACACAAUUAAAUAAGAACAAUAAUUUCAAACCAGGAAUUGGAAAAAAAUUUUUUUUUCCAAUUUUGUAAUCUGCCCUUUGGUUCCCUGUCAAUAAAGCCCUGAACACUGGCAACUUUUCCCUGGAUUUUCUCAACACUGAACCAAGGUCAGUUUUGAUUGCUAAAUAAACAGAUAACGGAUCUAACACAAGUCAGAGAUCAGGUUCUUCUUUCAGUGGCAGCUGUGGACAUUUAACUUGGAAACAGAGACGAAGUUGAGUUCCUCCAAAUAGGAGAAAUGAAGCUGUUAGGGAUUAUCCUGCUUUGCGUGGCUACAUUCCCUAGAAGACUGCAAUGUGAUAGCAACGGCUGUGUCACCUCCUUGAAGCGUGACAUUCUCAAGCUGAUGGUCAAAUGGGAAGAUGCCACCUGCCUCCAGAGCCAGCAAGGGCUGCCCCCGAACCUCCUCCAGACUUUGCCCCGAAGCUGCAAAGAGAUCAAAACAGCCCUGGAAGGAGCUCCCGAUGGGUUGUAUUUCCUGGAAACGGAAGAAGGUGAGAUCUAUCAAACCUUCUGCGACAUGACCACCCAUGGAGGCAGAGCCGGCCCUAGGUAUUUUUCAAGUGUAGGCGAACAGAAUUUUGGCGCCUCUCCAAACCAAUCACUGAAAAAUAAAAGCGUUGGAUAAGCGAAAAUGUUGGAUAAUAAGGAAGUAAAAAGGAAAAGCCUAUAAAACAUCAAAUUACAUUAUGAUUUUAAAAAUUAAGCACCAAAACAUUAUGUUUUACAACAAAUCAAUAGAAAAAGCAGUUCAAUACAUGGUAAUGUUAUGUAGGAAUUACUAUAUUUGCAAAUUUAGCACUAAACAUUGAACAGGGAUAUAGGGCAGUGUGGACUUAGAUAACCCAGAUAGCCCUCAGUAUUUAAAAAAAACCCUCUAAAAUCAGGACAAUAAAUAAAGAACAACACUCUGAAAACAGAAGAAAUCCAGACAGUAAACAAUCAGGGACAGCUAACUCCUCCCAAAAAAAGAUUCUCCCAGGCAAGAAGAAGCCAGGCCUUGAAGCCACAGGGCCAUUAAAUGCUAAUCAAGGUGAUUAAUUACAACAUUCACACCUGCUUCAAAGAAAAGUUCUUUCUCCCACCCUGGACCAUCUACAGAUAUAUAAACCCCACAUACCUAGCUUCCAAGUUCCUACAGACCUCACAAUCUCUGAAGGCCCCAAAGGUGGGCUUGCGUGGUGCGAAGAUGGGUCUGCGCUGGCCGGAAGGCCCGAAAGAGAAGGAAGGAGGUGGAGAGUGGUGCCCUCCUCCCAGGACGAUGGUGCCCCCGGGACAAUGGCGCCACAGGCAAAUGCCUAUUUUGCCUUAUGGUUGGACCGCCUCUGCAUGGAGGCGGCUGGACCUUGGUGGCCAGCAUCCAUGAGAACAACAUCUAUGGGAAAUGCACCCUGGGUGACCGCUGGACCAGCCAACAGGGAAACAACGGCAAUUAUCCAAAAGGAGAAGGAAACUGGGCCAAGAACACCACGUUUGGGACUGCUGUGGCUUCGACCAGCGAUGACUACAAGGUGGGAAGGCAGGAGACCUUUUUUCUUGACAAUGGUUUUUUAUUACGAGGGCUAUCCAGAAAGUAGAUUUAUUACAAGGGCUAUCCAGAAAGUUGGAAUUAAAAAUGAACAAAGUGUAGGAGAAAACAUUACCAUAUGCAGUUGAAAGCCACACCCAAAUACCACUUCUCAACAUAGUUGCCAUUCAAAUCUAGGCACCAUAGCGAUGAAUGAGCUUUGCAACUUCUUCCCCACUAAAUUCUGCCUCUUGCUUCCUCAACCACUUGUUUCCAACAAUGCGUUUUGGCGAUGCUGUGCAGCGUCAAUACGCAGUAAUGUAAUUACUGUAUUUAUGAAUUUAGCACCAAAAUAUCAUGAUAUAUUGAAAACAUUGACUACAAAAAUGCCUUGGAUAAUCCAGAACCUUGGAACCUUGGAUAUACAGUAAGUGAGACUCUACUGUAUAUGGUAUUUCCUGUAUUUUAUAGGCAGUGUGGAAGAGGCCUAAGUGGAACCCUGUCUGUCACCGGGAGCCAUUGUGGCUGAGGGGGUUGCUAUGACACGAAGGAGGCGGGGCCUAAAGGGAGCAGGGCCUGCCCUUCUGACUGGCAGCCAGGAGGAGAACAGCUCUUCCUCAUCCUCUGUAAUUUAUUUUUCUAGGUUUUUUAAAUUGAAAGACACAGAUUAAAUGACUAUGUCUUUUGUGGCCAAAUUUGAUGUGAUUUGGUUUUGUUGUUUACUCCAUAGGAAAAAAAACAAGACUUCAUUGAUGGAGUAUUUCAUCUGUAAUAGGGGUUUCCUCUCUUCCUCCUGCCUACCACCUUAUAAAGCAGUGGUUCCCAAACUUAUUUGGCCUACCAACCCCCUCCAGAAAAAAAAUGACUCAGCGCCCCCUGGAAAGAGGGGCGUGGCUUAGAGGGGUGGGCGUGGCUCAUGCUCAGGAGGGCGGGGCUGAGCUACUCCCCUAUUCCAAGAUGCAGGGUUGCGAGGGGGAGGGCU